CGGACGGGUGAGUAACACGUGGGUAACCUGCCUGUAAGACUGGGAUAACUCCGGGAAACCGGGGCUAAUACCGGAUAAUUUAGUUCCUCGCAUGAGGAACUGUUGAAAGGUGGCUUUUCGCUACCACUUACAAAUGGACCCGCGGCGCAUUACCUAGUUGGUGAGGUAACGGCUCACCAAGGCAACGAUGCGUACCCAACCUGAAAGGGUGAUCGGCCACCCUGGGACUGAAACACGGCCCAAACUCCUACGGGAGGCAGCAGUAGGGAAUCUUCCGCAAGGGACAAAAGUCUGACGGACCAACGCCGCGUGAGUGAAAAAGGUUUUCGGAUCGUAAAACUCUGUUGUUAGGGAAAAACAAGUGCCGUUCAAAUAGGGCGGCCCCUUGACGGUACCUAACCAAAAAGCCACGGCUAACUACGUGCCACCAGCCGCGGUAAUACGUAGGUGGCAAGCGUUGUCCGGAAUUAUUGGGCGUAAAGCGCGCGCAGGUGGUUUCUUAAGUCUGAUGUGAAAGCCCACGGCUCAACCGUGAAGGGUCAUUGAAAACUGGGAAACUUGAUUGCAAAAAAGGAAAGUGAAAUUCCAAGUGUAGCGUUGAAAUGCGUAGAUAUUUGAAGGAACACCAGUGGCGAAGGCGACUUUCUGGUCUGUA
rnacentral:rRNA from 1 species